ACCGUUGGAAAUUAGGAGGGAAUA
rnacentral:miRNA from 1 species